UACGUAGGGGGCGAGCGUUGUCCGGAUUUAUUGGGCGUAAAGAGCGUGUAGGCGGCCAGGUAGGUCUGCUGUGAAAACUCGAGGCUCAACCUCGAGACGUCGGCGGAAACCAUCUGGCUAGAGUCCGGAAGAGGAGAGUGGAAUUCCUGGUGUAGCGGUGAAAUGCGCAGAUAUCAGGAAGAACACCCGUGGCGAAGGCAGCUCUCUGGGACGGUACUGACGCUGAGACGCGAAAGCGUGGGGAGCGAACAGG
rnacentral:rRNA from 1 species